rnacentral:rRNA from 1 species
UGGGGAAUAAUUCACAAUGGGGGCAACCCUGAUGGUGCAACGCCGCGUGGAGGAUGACGGUCUUCGGAUUGUAAACUCCUGUCAUCCGGGAGUAAGACCUGGCCGUGAAGAGCGGACAGGGUUGAUAGUACCGGAAGAGGAAGGGACGGCUAACUUCGUGCCAGCAGCCGCGGUAAUACGAAGGUCCCGAGCGUUGUUCGGAAUCACUGGGCGUAAAGGGAGCGUAGGCGGCGUGGUAAGUCAGACGUGAAAUCCCGGGGCUCAACCCCGGAACCGCGUCCGAAACUGCCGCGAUCAGAGGAUUGGAGAGGUAGCUGGAAUUCUUGGUGUAGCAGUGAAAUGCGUGGAUAUCAAGAGGAACACUCGUGGCGAAAGCGAGCUACUGGACAACUCCUGACGCUGAGGCUCGAAGGCCGGGGUAGCGAAAG